rnacentral:lncRNA from 1 species
UGCCCCGGGACAUGAGGAAAGGAACAAGGGAAAGAGCCGGUGAAGGGGCAGAACAGGCAGUUGGAAACAACAAAUGGCUUUUGAGUCCAAGAGUGAUGCAAUCACAGUGACGCAUUAAAACGGUUACUCCGGAGACAUCAGAGCACUGUGGCUGGAGGCUGGGAGCCUGGCCAGGAAGCUGUCGCCAUUGUCCAGGUGAAAGGUGCUAAGGACCUGCUUGGUGGCAGUGGGGACAGAAAGAAGAAAGCAGGCCAGGCGUGGUGGCUCACACCUAUAAUUCCAGCACUUUGGGAGGCUGAGGCAGGAGGAUCACUUGAGACCAGGAAUUCAACACCAGCCUGGGCAACAUGGCAAGACCCCAUUUCUACAAAAAAAAUUUAAAAUGAGCUGAAUGUGGUGGCACGCGCCUGUAGUCCCAGCUACUCGGAAGGCUGGGGUGGCCCUUGAAGCCAGGAGGUUGAGGCUGCAGUGAACUGUGACUGAGCCACUAUACUCCAGCCUGGGUGACAGAGACCCAGCUUUAAAACCAAACAAAUGGAUUUUCCCACUCUUGUGUCCAGUCCAGGCCCCUCAGCAGCCUGAGGUGGUGUCCUUCAAAGAGCAGAGCACUGCAUCAUCAGGUGGAUGCAGCCAUCAUCUUCAACCCCUCCCCUUCAUCCCUACAGUACUGAUGGCCUCAUCUUCCCCUUCAACCCCCAGGGACACACUCAGGACACCAACACCUUCU